AUUGAACGCUGGCGGCAGGCUUAACACAUGCAAGUCGAGCGAGCGGCGGACGGGUGAGUAAUGUCUGGGAAACUGCCUGAUGGAGGGGGAUAACUACUGGAAACGGUAGCUAAUACCGCAUACCAUCAGAUGUGCCCAGAUGGGAUUAGCUAGUAGGUGGGGUAAUGGCUCACCUAGGCGACGAUCCCUAGCUGGUCUGAGAGGAUGACAAGGAACACUGGAAAUGAGACAAGGUGCAGAGUGCUAGGGGAGGCAGAAGUGGGGAAUAUUGCAAAAGGGGAGAAAGCCUGAUGCAGCCAUGCAGAGUGUGUGAAGAAGGCAUUCGGGUUGUAAAGCACUUUCAGCGAGGAGGCGUUACUCGAAGAAGAAGCACCGGCUAACUCCGUGCCAGCAGCCGCGGUAAUUC
rnacentral:rRNA from 1 species